CCUACGGGAGGCAGCAGUGGGGAAUAUUGGGCAAUGGAAGCAACUCUGACCCAGCCAUGCCGCGUGGGUGACGAAGGUCUUCGGAUUGUAAAGCCCUUUCGGCGGAGACGAUGAUGACGGUAUCCGCAGAAGAAGCCCCGGCUAACUUCGUGCCAGCAGCCGCGGUAAUACGAAGGGGGCUAGCGUUGUUCGGAAUUACUGGGCGUAAAGGGCGUGUAGGCGGCCCGCUAAGUCAGGUGUGAAAGGCCUGGGCUCAACCCAGGAAAUGCGCCUGAGACUGACGGGCUUGAAUCCGGGAGAGGAUGGUGGAACUCCCAGUGUAGAGGUGAAAUUCGUAGAUAUUGGGAAGAACAUCCGUGGCGAAGGCGGCCAUCUGGACCGGUAUUGACGCUAAGGCGCGACAGCGUGGGGAGCAAACAGGAUUAGAUACCCUGGUAGUCCACGCCGUAAACGAUGAGUGCUAGACGUUGGGAAGCCUAGCUUUUCAGUGUCGCAGCUAACGCAUUAAGCACUCCGCCUGGGGAGUACGGCCGCAAGGUUGAAACUCAAAUGAAUUGACGG
rnacentral:rRNA from 1 species